rnacentral:lncRNA from 1 species
AGAGCCGAUUUACGCAAUCGAAUACCGCCGGAAGUAGAACAUUUAUGUCGACACCGGUUUCGUAUUUCACGUGAAAUUGGCCGAAAACUGAGAGGUUAUCAACAAAUUAUAAGUUUACGGGUACCAUGAGGAUUUUUCAUGCAUUUAAACGACAGAAGUACAAGCGAACAGAUGACACAUUAAAGUGGCUGCAGAAGCUUGAAAAGUUAGAUAGAGCAGGGACAGUCAAAACUGUGGGAUAAUACUUCUAUGGUGUCCAACAUGUUUAGUCAGGUUGACAGAAGUGAAAGAUGGUCUGAUGGUACAAUGAUGUACAAAUGAUACUCUUUAACAAGUUUAACAUGUCAAAGUGUAAAAUGUUCUGUGGAUUCAUAUGAUGAGAAUGCCAAUGUUGAUCUGUAUGACUUAAUUAAAC